UAGCACAAUAUCAAUAUCGACACACAAAUAUCAAUAAGCAAGUAUUGAAUGAACGAGUGAAGAAAUAACUGAAUGAAUAAUUGAUGGUUCUGAAAACAAAAAAUGGUGAGGCCAUGACAGAAAUAGAAGAUAAAGAAGGGUGCCAGCACAACAAGGAAGUUGUUUCAAAACAAAGAGAAACCAGGUUUCAUCUCAACGUAAGGGAGACCUUCACAGAGGCCAAGAGUUUUAAAGAUGGACCCUGCUUCAUCAGGAGGCGACGAUGGCGAGGGACAAAGCCUGGCCUGGCUCGCUCCUAACAGGAAUUGGCUCUGGAGAUUCCGGUAAUUGCUCCGUCCUUAUUAUUGAGCCUGUGAAGCCAGUCUUGGCCAGGGUGGCCCCCUCCCUUUUAGCCACUCACUUGCUAGAAUCAGGCUGCAGAUGGGCUGCUAACGAGGUGACCAAUUAACAAACGCUAAAUAACCCCAAAGGGUAUUUUCCUCCCUGGCCUGAUUUCCAGGCCCCUUUGUUCCUCCUUGGGAAUCUGUCCCCUGUGACAGGACCACAAUGGGACUGUUUCCAAGCCUGACCCUGUGAGAAGCUGACCACUCAAGCCAUGGUCACAAGACUGACUCCUUUGCUUGGGGGUGGGGGGAAGCAUGGGAGCAGGGAGGGUUCCUGCCUCUCAGGAAAAAUAGGGAGGGUUCCUGCCUCUCAGGAAAAAUGCUACAACCACCCCACGUUACUGACCACUUACUAUGUGUUAUAUAAUUCUUAUGCAACCUUUCAUUCAUGCAUUUAUUCAAACAAGCAGGAACUGAGGACUUCUGACGCACCAGAUGUCGUAGUGGGCAGCCCUGACCUCAGAGGCCCCGGGCCUCACGGGGCCUGUAUGUUAAAGCUUUGGCGCUUUGGUGCAUCUUCCUGUGAAUUCUCAGUCUUUCUCUGAUGCCUGGUACCUGCUGGCAGUGAGGACCUGGUGUGGAGCCCUGAGCUCCAUGUGAGUCCGGUCCCUGCUUCUCCCCUUCAGGGCAACCCUGGACCCUCUACCCUACCUCCCCACCCCACUCCCACACACGUAACAUACAUUAGGGUUGGCCAGAUCCUCUGAGGCCACUUGCACUUAUAGAAUCUCUUCCCGGAGUGUAGAGUGGUGAGUACAUCACUCCCUCCUGCUGAAGCUUCCUUCCUUCCUUCCUUCCUUCCUUCCUUCCUUCCUUCCUUCCUUCCUUUAUUUAUUUAUUUUCAUGGAGUCCCAUGAGAUUGACCCACCAGAAUGGUGCUGGCUCUCUGACUUGGUGUGACUGCCAUUGAUUGCAAAGACAGAAGCCUCACAAAGCAAAAUUUGCUUGGGACUCUACACAUCCCGGGAGUGGCACUAACACUAGAGAUAUGGUGGUGAGUGAAACGGACACAAUCCUCGUCCCCAGAGAAGUUGUGGUCACAAAUAGCGCUCAGAAGGGGACCGGAAAGAAUAGAAGGCAUUUGAGCCUCCACAAAGGCACCUGAUGUGUUGUCUGAGGUAGGUGCUAUUGUCAACUCCGUUGGACAAAUAAGAAAACCGAGGCACAAAGAUGCCGGUUGCCUGCCCGACGGUGCACUCCUAGUAGAACCAGAAACAAACUAAGGAACUUGCUCACCUAGGAUCCCAUGAAAUGUACAAUUGCUCUUGUCCACUUAGGUGGAUAUUUCGGCCUGGAAGCAGGAAAGCGGUAGUUGUCGGGACAACUUUAGUAGCAAGUGAGAGAAAACCAAGCACAGUCUGACUCAAGUACAAAAAAGCUGGGGUCAUUCCAUGAGGUGUUAAGACAGUCCAGCGUGGCCCAGUCCUAUCUGCAAUCAAUUCUGCUGCCCCGGACAGAGAAGGAACAAGAAAAGAGCUGGCAAGGGCACCUGGGCAGGACGGAAGAGACCAGGCUUCCGGUGCUGGCUGUGCCGCUGGCCACGGGCGAGUGGCAUUGGGACUCUGGCCUCAGCUUCCCUGCACGCAACCUGCAGAGAACCUGCUGGUGUAACAUGCUUCCCAGUUUGGGGUGAGGGUCACAGGAGGGCAGGUGAGCCCAAGAGUGGUUAUUUGAUGGUGACGCCAUUCCUCUUCUCCUGAAAGGUGCCCAAAGACAUUCCACCACCGUUAAGCAGCAGGACAGUCACGAGACACGUCAGGGGGCUGAGUGUCUUUGCUGAGCCCUCCCACUCCCACCGUCCAGUGUGAGAGCCACCUCACCGACUUCACCGAUCCCUCAUCCUUCUUUCCCUCCCACCUGGGCACCCCAGUCUCUAGACCCCAGCCAGGCAUAUGUGACUUGUCAUCCUUUGCUCUGGGCUGCUGGCCAACCUCCCCAGGCACAGUGGGUCCUGGCCAUUGGCCCAUGCCCCUGCUGCCCCAGACACUCUUAAUCCUGUCCCCAUAGACACCCCAACUUCUGCAGAUCAAAAACCUCCUUCUCACUCUUUGGAGACUCCCGUCCACCACGGCCACGAUGCUGUGUUGACAAGAGCUCCUGGAGGUGAGGAGAACCCUCACAGCUGCAGCCUCUCCAGCCUGCCUCAGAGGGAGCCUGGCCUUCCUCUCCUGGAGUGCCCUCCCCUGGGAUGGGCCUCUCUGCCUGGUCUAUCUCAGCCACUUUGACCUAUAAAAACCUUCUUCUGCACCCCCCACCUCCCUCCCUUUCCUCCCCCUCUCUCCUUCCCCCUUCCCCUCCAUCACUUCCCUACUCUCCCCUUCCUCCUCUUCCCCUCUCUGCCUCUAGCCUUCCCUUCUCUUUGCUUUCUCCCCCCAUGAGGGCCCUUCCCUCCUCUCUUCUUCCCACCCAACUCUGCUCUUAUCCAUCUUUCAGGACAACUACCCGCAGGGAGAGAGCCUGGGCCCUCCUCCCAGCCAGCUUCCCCAGCCAUUCCAGCAGGUAGGGCUUUCUAAACUGUUGCCACCAAGUGUCUCCCAAACACCAUACACAGGUUGCCCUACCUGCCAGGAGGUCAAACAGUUGGUGGGGGGGAUGUGUCCACACACAGCACAAAUUAGCCCACCAUACUAGUCAUGCAAGAUGCGGCUGUCGCCAUCCCCUGCUUUCCUCCCCUAGACGGCAAAAUGGAGUCUUUGAAAUUUAGGGUAGAAGAGCCCUUAGAAAUCCAUUGUGUUCCCAGCCAAUAGCACCAAUACAGCAUGUUUGAUAUUCAAAAUAUGAUCAGAUGUUAGUGUCUGUCUAAUAUUAGGUAUUAUCAAUAUUAUAUUCUCUAUAAAAUAGUACAGUAUCUCUACAGAGGAGAGUGUGGGUAGACCUAUAAUGAAGUAUAAUAUGAACUCAUAUCCAAUAUUAGAUAUUAAUGUCUACCUAGAGAAAAAACUAAACUGGAAGAGCCAGAAAAACACUAGACAAGAAGAAUAAAGGGGAAGAAUUGCUCUAUAAGAUACAAAAUAUUUUAAAACUAUCAUAAUUGAAAUAGCCCAGUAUUGGCAUGGGAAGGAAGAGACAGUACAGUGGGAAAGGAUAGAGACCAGAAAUAGGCCUAAAUAUAAAAAAUAAUUGAGCCUCUGAUGGAAGUGGUAUUUCAGAUCAGUGCAUGGAAAGAUCUGACCAAUGUCAUUGGCAUUACUAUUUAACCCUGGAUUGUUCCAUAUGGUAACCAGUAGCCACAGGUGGCUGUUGUGCGCCUGAACUGUGGCCAGUCCAAAAUACACACUGGAUUUUGAACUAGAUAUGAGAAAAGACAUAUAAAUUAACUCACUUAUAAUUUUUAUAUAGGUUAUACAUUGACAUUAUGCUUUGAAUAUAUGGUGGGAUAAAAUAAUAUGUUAUUAUGAUUGCUUCUACCUGUUUCCUUUUACUUAAAUUGUGGGUAACAGAACAUUUUAAAUUACAUAUAUGGCUUUCUUUAUAUAUAUAUUGGACAGAAGUAUUCUAACCACUUGUAAAAAGUAAAAUUGAAUCCCUAUCUCACACUUCAUAUGGAAAAUAAAAUCCAAAUGGAUUGAUAUUUUGAUGUAAAAUACACCGGGAAGAAAAUGUGCAUAAUCUAUUGUAUGAUUUUAUUUUAUGAUUGUGGAAUGGGGAAAACCUUUGAAAACAGACUAAAUUCAAAGCUAUCUUUUAAAAAGAUUGAUAAAUUUGAUGUCAUAAAAGAUAAAAUUAUCUACAAAGAAAAACACCUCUAAGAAGGUUGAAA